rnacentral:lncRNA from 1 species
GUCCUCCUCACAAGCCUAUAUUUGUGUCAAUUGUGGAGGUAGGAAGUGAUACUUUCCGAGGAACUAAAGUGAAAACUAAAAAGCAGGCGGAGAUAAAUGUUACUGAAUUGGCUUGCGUUGCUCUUACUAAGAGUAAGAAACUAAUUAUUUAUUGGGUUUGAGUUUGUUCUAGUCUCUCAAAACAACUACUUAAAUUAUUCCUAUUUUUCCUUAUGUAUAUGAAAAAGGCUUUGUUUGAUUACCCUUUCAGUACUUCACAUGCUUUUUGGAAGUCAAACUUUAUCUUGUUAAAUUGAAUGGAAAUUGUUGGAUCUACAUGUUCUCAUCAUGGAAACCUAGGCAAUGGUUUCUAAUCUACAUUUUAAUACUAUGAUAGCAAAGAUAUAGACAUACAGUUCACUAUUAUAUAUACACACACACACACACACACAAACACUUUGGAGCUGUGGGCCAUCAGUAAACUAAAUAAAAAAAGUCAUGAUCUCAUUAAGUUGACUGUGAUUCCCCUCAACCUAUGAAAAGUAGGUCACAAUGCUAAGCUUUUUAUCCUCUUUGUAGCUUGAGGAUGUAAAAGGUCGUUCUUGUCCAUUGUUGUCAUUUCUGAGAGCGAGGGUUGUAGGUGUAGU